rnacentral:lncRNA from 1 species
ACUUAUAAAAUAUCCUAUAAAUAGAUAAAGAAAAUGAAAGGAAAGGAUUUUUGUACGUUGGUAGUGCGAUUCGAGCCCGGGCCGGGCUGCCGUGGCAAGGCGCGUAUCCGCAAUGCUGCGACAACUCGUUUGGAACGGCGAUUCCAAACUGUAGUUGAGCAUUCGCCUAAAACUUUGACCCGCAAUGUCUCAAAGGUGGUUGACCAUCUGCCGGCAAGGGGGGUAUCACUGUAUUCAGGAGGACAUGCUGUAUAACCCUAUUAAGUUUCAUCAGAAUUGGUGGAUUCCACUUGGGGGACCUCUCC